rnacentral:rRNA from 1 species
GUAGGGUGCAAGCGUUAAUCGGAAUUACUGGGCGUAAAGCGUGCGCAGGCGGUUCGGAAAGAAAGAUGUGAAAUCCCAGAGCUUAACUUUGGAACUGCAUUUUUAACUACCGAGCUAGAGUGUGUCAGAGGGAGGUGGAAUUCCGCGUGUAGCAGUGAAAUGCGUAGAUAUGCGGAGGAACACCGAUGGCGAAGGCAGCCUCCUGGGAUAACACUGACGCUCAUGCACGAAAGCGUGGGGAGCAAACAGGAUUAGAUACCCUGGUAGUCCACGCCCUAAACGAUGUCAACUAGCUGUUGGGGCCUUCGGGCCUUGGUAGCGCAGCUAACGCGUGAAGUUGACCGCCUGGGGAGUACGGUCGCAAGAUUAAA